UUGUUUUCACCUCCAGCAAGUAUCUGCUAACCACAACAUCACUUUCCAGCUCCUGCAGACAACCAGGAAGGACUGGCAUUUAUCACUGCCACGCAAGGAGCAUCUUCACUGCUUGUUGCAGCAAUUCCUUGCCUCGGUGUGCAGUCCAGCUGAAGCUAUUCUUUCACAUGUUUUUGUCAUUGAUGCAGCUUCAUCUUCAUUUGGGUUUUCACUGGGGCACUUCAGGUCCUCCUUGAAGAUGGAGCACGCACCUCCAUGAGCAGAGUUUAGCAAACAUGAGUUUGGAACCCCAGAUACCAGACUGGAGCCAGAACCAGGCAAAAGGCUGGAAGGAUGAUGGUUAAGACAAGGAACUGGGAAGCCAGCCCCACAGAAUCAGUCAGUGUGAAAAGAAGGAUAGACACAGAUCUAUGUCCUUGACAGCAUGCGAACCCACCACCAAACACUGCAUAUACUUCUUCUGAAGUUUUAGGGCAUUGAGAGGAUCUCCUCCUUCACUCUAGACGUCACUGUCCUUUCAUUUGCUGUCAUGAAGCUUCAGCAUUAUGCCAUGCUCUGGCUCAUGUUUUAAAAGGCUUCCUUCACAGCAUGAAAUGCCAUAAACCUAAGAAUGUUACCUGUACUGGGCUACUCUUUUCAACUGUGUUGGAGCUGGUAGGCAUUAGUGUGAGCCAGAAAUGACUGCACCUCAAAUUUGUUUUAAAUUAAAGCUUCAAUUUUGCAGGAACUCUUUAUUGCUUCAGGCAAAAAGAGGGGUGGAAUGACGUUUCACUCUUCCAACAUAAACCUGAAUUGGGCAAAGCCCUCUGUAUGCUGGCUGUGCAGUUCUCUUGCAGCACUUCCUGUUCAGCUCUUCAAUUUGGUUGCCAUUGGCCAGCUUUAAAACCUGGGGUUUUAAUCUGCUGUAAAUUGGUGCUGCUCUACUGAAAUGUGGUUUUCAGACUGUGGUCUGUCGGUCCCCAGAGAUUCUGUGGACCGCUUCAAAAGAGUCUGCAAAAGGUAACUAAGAAAAGCAGACUCUACUACCAGUAGGCUUAAAUUCCAAUACAUGGACCUGUGCCUCUGCUGGAACAUUUUUGGGGUGCCAAGAAAUGAAAAUGACUGAAGACUAAAAAAGCAGUGCUGUUUUAUGCUAGUUGAAGAUCUGUCUCUGCCUGUUCAUUGAAUAAAAAAAUGGUUUUGAAGACUUGACUGAAAAAU
rnacentral:lncRNA from 1 species